rnacentral:rRNA from 1 species
AGAGUUUGAUCCUGGCUCAGGACGAACGCUGGCGGCGUGCUUAACACAUGCAAGUCGAACGAUGAAAGCGGGAGCUUGCUCCUGCUGGAUUAGUGGCUAACGGGUGAGUAACACGUGAGCAAUCUGCCCCUGACUCUGGGAUAAGCGUUGGAAACGACGUCUAACACCGGAUACCAGAUGAGACCGCAUGGUCAUCAUCAGGAAAGAAUUUCCGUCAGGGAUGAGCUCGCGGCCUAUCAACUUGUUGGUGAGGUAAUGGCUCAGAAAGGCGACGACCGGUAGCCGGCCUGAGAGGGUGACCGGCCACACUGGGACGGACACACUGUCCAGGCUCCUACAGGAGGCAUCCGUGGGGAAUAUUGCACAAUGGGCGCAAGCCUGAUGCAGCAACUCCGUGUGAGGGAUGAAGGCCUGCUGGUUGUAAACCUCUUUUAUCACGCAAGAAGCCAAAGUGACGGAACCUGCACAAAAAGCUGCCUGCUAACUACGUGCCGGCAGCCGCGGUGAUACGCUACGGCGCAAGCGUUGUCCAGAAUUAUUGGGCGUAAAGAGCUCGAAAGCGGUUUGUCUCGUCUGCUAUGAAAA